rnacentral:rRNA from 1 species
UACGUAGGGGGCAAGCGUUGUCCGGAAUCAUUGGGCGUAAAGAGCGUGUAGGCGGCCCGGUAAGUCCGCUGUGAAAGUCCAGGGCUCAACCCUGGGAUGCCGGUGGAUACUGUCGGGCUCGAGUCCGGAAGAGGAGUGUGGAAUUCCUGGUGUAGCGGUGAAAUGCGCAGAUAUCAGGAGGAACACCAAUGGCGAAGGCAGCUCGCUGGGACGUGACUGACGCUGAGACGCGAAAGCGUGGGGAGCGAACAGG